rnacentral:rRNA from 1 species
GAUUUACUGGGCGUAAAGGGCGCGUAGGCGGCCAGCACAAGUCAGUUGUGAAAUCUCCGAGCUUAACUCGGAAAGGUCAACUGAUACUGUGCGGCUAGAGUGCGGAAGGGGAAACUGGAAUUCUUGGUGUAGCGGUGAAAUGCGUAGAUAUCAAGAGGAACACCUGCGGCGAAGGCGGGUUGCUGGGCCGACACUGACGCUGAGGCGCGAAAGCCAGGGGAGCGAACGGG